AUUAAAUAAUCCGGGCCCACCUCCUUUAUACGGUAAACACCCGUUUCCUUAUCCCCUCUAAAAGCACGGGACAAUUUAGUCGGAACGCACUCUCGCUCUCUCAUUCUCUUGAGAACGCACUCUCGCUCUCUCCUUCCUCUCCAGACGCACCGUUCCCAGGAAAUAUUUGUUUUGUUGAUGCUCCCUGUGUUUGUUGGUGUUUAAGGAGAAAGCAAAGCAGAGGGAAGAGUUUGCAAAGCAGCAACAUGCAUAUAUUUUGGCUAUCUAGACAAACUGUUUCUUAGUGAAACCAACUUGCAUUUGUAUAUUUUAUGAACUUGGAUAUGUGGUUAGAUUAAUCUAUAUAACGUAAUGACUUGUAGUUUUUUUUUGUGAACCUUCUUUUAUGUUAUUGGAAAAUAUUUUGAAUUUGAUGUAUGGAAUUUACUAUUUAUCAUUGUUA